ensembl:antisense Sox5os3 SRY (sex determining region Y)-box 5, opposite strand 3
GGAUGAAGGCAAGAAUCUGCUGAGACCAGUGGUAGAGAGCAGAGGAACACGUAAACCCCUGAAGGAUGGCUUUCCAUUCCUGAGAGUGCUUUCUAGAGGACACCCAACAGUGAGCUAACUGGGCCGGGGGUGGGGGAGGGAGAACAGAAGCUCCUCAUGACUUGGGAAGAUUACACAUGAAAACGUGGAUUGACUGGCUUCCUUAUGUCAUAUGAAGAUGGAAUUUUUUUUUCUUUCAAAUCAAUCUCUUAUGACAAGUAUCAGGGGAUCAUUUCAUGGAAAUCUAUGGAACCCCAACAAUCAGAGGCCAACACUCAAGUCUGACACCUCCCAGUUCUGUCUCUAGGUACAGUGUGCAGUUUGCGUGUGCUUCUCUUGAAUUCUCUUCAAGCAAGGAACUGUGGCACCACAGCCUACUGAGUGAGAUCACAAAGGCAGAGAGAGAGACUUUCUGUUGACCUUAACAGCAGUGGCCUGUCAAGCCAUCCCAAUGAGAUGAAUUUGAACUCUGAUGCUGUCAGUUACUCAUUGCUAACUCACUCCAACCUGGCAAGCUCUUCAAAUGUAACCGUCAUCUUCCAGCAAGGGGCUCACCCAGUAAGUGGGGAUGUAUCACAGCCAAAGGCACAACGCUCUGGCAAGAUCCUCGAAGUUUCCAUUUCUACUGUCAAUCUAAUCCAUGUCACCAGAUUUCUUUGGCUUUAAUGUCAUGGCUUUCAGUAUCAUUGACCCAAAAGCUUGCUAAUAUCUAAAAUCAGCGUAUCG